UACGAAGGGUGCAGGCGUUAAUCGGAAUUACUGGGCGUAAAGGGUGCGUAGGCGGUUAGUUAAGUCUGUCGUGAAAUCCCCGGGCUCAACCUGGGAAUGGCGAUGGAUACUGGCUAGCUAGAGUGUGUCAGAGGAUGGUGGAAUUCCCGGUGUAGCGGUGAAAUGCGUAGAGAUCGGGAGGAACAUCAGUGGCGAAGGCGGCCAUCUGGGACAACACUGACGCUGAAGCACGAAAGCGUGGGGAGCAAACAGG
rnacentral:rRNA from 1 species